rnacentral:misc_RNA from 1 species
UCUCCGUUGGUGAACCAGCGGAGGGAUCAUUACCGAGUGCAAACUCAUAACCCUUUGUGAACCUAUAUCUGUUGCUUCGGCGGCUCGCUCUCGGGCGAGCCCGCCGGUAAUAUCAGUAUCUCUGUUUGAACCCGACGAUACUUCUGAGUGUUCUUAGCGAACAGUUAAAACUUUUAACAACGGAUCUCUUGGCUCUAGCAUCGAUAAGAACGCAGC